rnacentral:lncRNA from 1 species
UAAGAGUUGAGUAUUUCUUUCUACAGACUUAUAAGGCCUUUUAGGUUGUUUGGCUUGUACACACACUUCACAUUUAUGUUUAAAGUUUAGAUUGGACUUAGGGACUAAGUCUAGAUCCAUCAUUCUUUUAAUUUUCUUCAAGUUUACAAGUCCCAAUCAUUCAUGCCAUACAUUAGAAGAUUCAACAUUGAAAAUACUUGAAGAGAUAACUUUAACUUCUGAAAGUACAUUUAAUUUAAACAACCCCUCAUUAAUAAAUCCUUUCC